GAUGAACGCUGGCGGCGUGCCUAAUACAUGCAAGUCGAGCGAACGGACGAGAAGCUUGCUUCUCUGAUGUUAGCGGCGGACGGGUGAGUAACACGUGGAUAACCUACCUAUAAGACUGGGAUAACUUCGGGAAACCGGAGCUAAUACCGGAUAAUAUUUUGAACCGCAUGGUUCAAAAGUGAAAGACGGUCUUGCUGUCACUUAUAGAUGGAUCCGCGCUGCAUUAGCUAGUUGGUAAGGUAACGGCUUACCAAGGCAACGAUGCAUAGCCGACCUGAGAGGGGGAUCGGCGGCACGGGAGGGGAGACACGGUCCAGGGGCCUACGGGAGGCAGCAGUAGGGAAUGGGCCGCAAUGGGCGGAAGCCUGACGGAGCAGCGCGGCGUGAGUGGUGGAGGUCUUCGGAGCGUAAAGCUCGGUUAUGGGGGAAGAACAUAUGUGUAAGGAGCUGUGCAGAGCGUGACGGUACCUGGUCAGGAAGCCACGGCUAACUACGUG
rnacentral:rRNA from 1 species